AUGACUGCUCCAAGAGAACGUGCAAGGUUGGAGUACCUUAAUUCGCAGGAGCCAGGAGAUGCAUCGCAGGCCAGUGCUUUUGAUAUUGUGGAUAGGCUGCUAGUAGAAGAUGACAUGGAAGCUUCUCAGACAAUAACCGUUGAGCAGAUAAGUGCGACAAAGUCACCUCCCACUUUAGGCUCAAAAGUAGCUCAGUUCUUGGCUAAAAGGGUUGACCAGAGUUACCCACUUGAGAAGGCAGCUGUUUUUGACUGGUUGGAUACUCCCAACCUCGAUGAUUGCAUAAGUGGUAACGUUUCCAGGGAAAAUCCAAGAGUUCAUGUCAAAAAUCGUUUGAACUCCCAGGGAUGUGGUGGCUAUGGAUCAGGUACCAGGGCUGGGGCCAUGCUAGAAUGUAUUGAUGAGGACUUGGGCAUGAACUAUCUGAAGAAACCAGAACCAGUUGGUGCUACUGAAGAUUCAUAUGCAGCAUAUGAUAUUGGGCCAAACACUCAAAUGGCAGCUGAAGCGAUGGAAGCACUGUUCAAUGGACCAACUGUCAGUUCUGAUGUCAGGGAGCAUGAACACCUGGAAAACACUUUGGGAAAAGAAAACAAAGUGGAUACAAUUUGCUCAGUAAACUUGCUAGUUCAAGAGCAAAAGCAAGCCUGCUUACCUCAGAGCUCAGGGGGAAUGACAUCGCAACUCAAGCAACUCAAGGUAGACCACAUAGAAAGACCAAGGGGUGAAAGUUCAAUCCCUUUGAUGAAUUGUCCCAGUAAGUCAAAAACAAGGAGGAAUGCAAAACAGAUGACCGGGAAAGCAAAAAGAAGCAUGGAGAGUCGGGUUUCAAGAGGAGCCAUAAAUGAUGAGGUGUCAGACGUAAUCAUGGGAUCUGGUACAGAGGGCUCAAAUAGUCCCUGUUUAUUAGGUAAAAAUGCUGUAAUCCACCCUAAAAGAAAGAGAACAUAUACAUUUACCUCAGGAAGCUCAAAAGUUGGGUUCAAGAAAGCUACCAGAUCAAAUGCAGACAGAGCCGAAACUACAGAAGUAACAGAGUUACCAAGAGCAAAACCAGCAAGCAUAUUUGAUCCUGAUACCAUAAAAGGCAUGAAAUUGACCCACAAGUCUUCUUCAGGUAAUCUUAAAGCAUCAGCUACAACAACUCGCAGCAAGGUGAAAGGAGUUCAGAAAGAAACUUCGGAUACCAAUCAGCUUGAAAGAACACUAAGCGCUGAACUGAAAAAACAAUCAACAUCUGAACAGAAAGUCAGUGACUCUUGUUUGGCGAAUAGAGUACCACUGAGAGAGUUAAGUAGCACAGAGCCCCAAUCUAAGGCACAUACAUCAAAGAAGCCACUGAAAAGAGGCCUUCUGAAAUCACCAGCUUCCAGGGAGCUUGCUAGUCUUUUUCGGAGUGAAGCAUCUCCGGUUCUGCAAUCAAGCAGGCGAAGAAAGAGAAAUAUGUCCACAGUCCGUGUUCUGUUCAGCCAAAGCAUGGACAGCGAAACAAUCAAAGAUCAAACAAAGAUAUUGAUGCACUUCGGAUUACCAGUGGCAACAACUAUUUCAGAGGCUACACACUUUGUUGCUGAAAAGUUUGCUCGUACAAAGAACAUGCUAGAAGCAAUGGCCAUGGGCAUACCUGUAGUCACACCAUCAUGGCUUGAAUGCUGUGGAGAAGCAAGGUGCUUCAUUGAUGAGAAAAAAUACAUAAUGAGGGAUACAAAGAAGGAAAAGGAGCUACGCUUCAGCAUGCCCGUCGCACUAAGCCAAGCCUGCAAAAAGCCACUGUUAGAGGGUAGAAGAGUACUAAUCACGCGAAAUGCUAAGCCUAGCAAGGAGCUUCUGAAAUGUUUAGUAGUGGCAGCUGGUGGCAAGCUGUUGGAGAGGAUCACAGUGUCUAUGAUGAAGAAUAAGAAUUUUGAAGGAGCCUUUGUAAUCUCUUGUGAACAAGACUGCAACAUCUGUUUACCGUUCAUUAAGAAUGGUUUGGGAGUGUUCGACUCGGAGCUUUUGCUGAAUGGUAUUGUCGUCCAGAAGCUAGAGUUUGAAAGGUACCGCCUUUUCCAUGUAAAAUGUGAAGCUUCUGCGAGGUCCGGGCCGCUAACCUGCAAUAUAAUGAACACUUCGUCCCGUAAAUACGAGCCGCGCGCUCCUGUAGUUACUGAUGUGAUCCCUUGA
rnacentral:rRNA from 1 species